rnacentral:tRNA from 1 species
GCCGAAAUAGCUCAGAUGGGAGAGCGUUAGACUGAAGAUCUAAAGGUCUGUGGUUCAAUCCCGGGUUUCGGCA